rnacentral:lncRNA from 1 species
AAACUUCAUUCUACUGAAAGCGUUAUCAUCGCCAUCCUCUGCUAUAUUGAUUUGAACAGACAUCCUUCACACCAGAGUCUCCCAUAGUCUUCUGUGGUUUGGAUCAACAGGGGUGAUGACAAUCGCUGGGACCCGGGAUGGGGCUCAGGAAUUUGCUUUUUGAAUGAGCACAGCGGGUGCAUCUCCUGCACGCUGAAGUUUGAGGAACUGCUACAUAACACCAAAGCAGACCCAGAGAGCAGGUCCCUGCCGUGAACUUCCUUUGCAAACGAGAAAGGCUAGUGAGAGAGAGCGCAAGCUGAGGAGUCAGCCAUCCCUGCACUGGAAUCCAAGAUGUUUUACAUACAACUGCCUGAUGUGAGCAAGUUUCUUAACCUUGACUUAAUCUCCAUGAGCUUUGAUUCCUCCAUCUCUAAAUUUGAAAUAAUG